UAUUAUGAGAGUUUGAUCCUGGCUCAGGACGAACGCUGGCGGCGUGCCUAAUACAUGCAAGUCGAACGCUUCUUUCCUCCCGAGUGCUUGCACUCAAUUGGAAAGAGGAGUGGCGGACGGGUGAGUAACACGUGGGUAACCUACCCAUCAGAGGGGGAUAACACUUGGAAACAGGUGCUAAUACCGCAUAACAGUUUAUGCCGCAUGGCAUAAGAGUGAAAGGCGCUUUCGGGUGUCGCUGAUGGAUGGACCCGCGGUGCAUUAGCUAGUUGGUGAGGUAACGGCUCACCAAGGCCACGAUGCAUAGCCGACCUGAGAGGGUGAUCGGCCACACUGGGACUGAGACACGGCCCAGACUCCUACGGGAGGCAGCAGUAGGGAAUCUUCGGCAAUGGACGAAAGUCUGACCGAGCAACGCCGCGUGAGUGAAGAAGGUUUUCGGAUCGUAAAACUCUGUUGUUAGAGAAGAACAAGGACGUUAGUAACUGAACGUCCCCUGACGGUAUCUAACCAGAAAGCCACGGCUAACUACGUGCCAGCAGCCGCGGUAAUACGUAGGUGGCAAGCGUU
rnacentral:rRNA from 1 species